GGGAACGUACCUUUCGGUUCGGAAUAAUUCAGGGAAACUUGGACUAAUACCGGAUACGCCCUUCGGGGGAAAGAUUCAUCGCCGAUAGAUCGGCCCGCGUCUGAUUAGCUAGUUGGUGAGGUAAUGGCUCACCAAGGCGACGAUCAGUAGCUGGUCUGAGAGGAUGAUCAGCCACAUUGGGACUGAGACACGGCCCAAACUCCUACGGGAGGCAGCAGUGGGGAAUAUUGGACAAUGGGCGCAAGCCUGAUCCAGCCAUGCCGCGUGAGUGAUGAAGGCCUUAGGGUUGUAAAGCUCUUUUGUCCGGGAAGAUAAUGACUGUACCGGAAGAAUAAGCCCCGGCUAACUUCGUGCCAGCAGCCGCGGUAAUACGAAGGGGGCUAGCGUUGCUCGGAAUCACUGGGCGUAAAGGGCGCGUAGGCGGACUUUUAAGUCGGGGGUGAAAGCCCAGGGCUCAACCCUGGAAUUGCCUUCGAUACUGGGAGUCUUGAGUUCGGAAGAGGUUGGUGGAACUGCGAGU
rnacentral:rRNA from 1 species